rnacentral:rRNA from 1 species
CUACGGGUGGCUGCAGGCGCGAAAACUUUACAAUGCAGGAAACUGUGAUAAGGGAACCCCGAGUGCCCGUAUACGCGGGCUGUCCGGGUGUAUAAAAAGCAUCUGAAGAAAGGGCCGGGCAAGACCGGUGCCAGCCGCCGCGGUAAUACCGGCGGCUCGAGUGGUGACCACUUUUAUUGGGCUUAAAGCGUUCGUAGCUGGACUCUUAAGUCUCUUGGGAAAUCCCGCGGCUCAACCGUGGGGCGUUUAAGAGAUACUGGGAGUCUAGGAACCGGGAGAGGUAAGAGGUACUUCGGGGGUAGAAGUGAAAUUCUGUAAUCCUCGAGGGACCACCGAUGGCGAAGGCAUCUUACCAGAACGGCUUCGACAGUGAGGAACGAAAGCUGGGGGAGCGAACGGGAUUAGAUACCCCCGUAGUC